rnacentral:rRNA from 1 species
GAUGAACGCUGGCGGCGUGCCUAAUACAUGCAAGUCGAGCGGACGGACGAGAAGCUUGCUUCUCUGAUGUUAGCGGCGGACGGGUGAGUAACACGUGGAUAACCUACCUAUAAGACUGGGAUAACUUCGGGAAACCGGAGCUAAUACCGGAUGAUAUUUUGAACCGCAUGGUUCAAAAGUGAAAGACGGUCUUGCUGUCACUUAUAGAUGGAUCCGCGCUGCAUUAGCUAGUUGGUAAGGUAACGGCUUACCAAGGCAACGAUGCAUAGCCGACCUGAGAGGGUGAUCGGCCACACUGGAACUGAGACAGGGUCCAGACUCCUACGGGAGGCAGCAGUAGGGAAUCUGACGCAAUGGGCGAAAGCCUGACGGAGCAAGGCCGCGUGAGUGAUGAAGGUCUUCGGAUCGUAAAACCCUGUUAUUAGGGAAGAACAGAUGUGGAAGUAACUGUGCACAUCUUGACGGUACCUAAUCAGAAAGCCACGGCUAACUACGUG